UUUUUUUUUUUCAUGCAAUACUCACUCCAUGCAACCAAUGCUCUAAUGAGACUACUUUGGGGACUACCAGUUUAGCAACAAUGUGGGCUUUGGUUAAGCUUAGAACAUAAUUUUUUUUUUUUUUAAAUCUUGUCUUAAAAGAAAAGAACUAAGUCUUAAAUGUAAGUUUAUGUGAAUUUCUACAACUUCAUUUACUACGACUCUCCAUUGCUCAUACCACUUCAGUCAUCAUGGUUUCCUUAUUUUUCUUCAAAUAUGCCAAGCAUAGUCUUCCUCAAUGUCUUUGCAUUUACUGCCUUCCUUGGGAUAGUCCUCACUCAGAUAUACACAAGACUUGCUCUUCCCAUUUUCUUAAGUUCUCUGUUAAAAUGUCAUUUUAUUAAACAGACCUUCACUGACCACUCUGUAACAAAUACUAAUUCCACAACCCUUGCACUCAUAACCCUUAAUUUGCUUUAUUUCUCUUCAGUGUUCAUUGCCAUCUAACAUAUUAAGAUUUUAUUUAUUUCUUCAUGAGAAAUACACACAGAGAGAGGCAGAGACACAGGCAGAGGGAGAAGCAGGCUCCAUGCAGGGAGCCUGAUGUGGGACUUCUGGGAUUCCAGGAUCAUGCCCUGAGCCAAAGGCAGGCAAACACUGAGCCAUCCAGGUGUCCCGCCAUCUAACAUAUUAAAUAUCAAUUUAUUAAGUAUUCUCCCUUUUGCUCACAGGCUGUAAGCCCCAUGAGUGCAAAGUCUGUUUUGUUAGUGAACAAAACUUGUAUAUACUAAGCUCAAUUAGUUGUUCAAUAAUUUAAUAACCAUCACUUCUAUCUGAUGUUAUUUACUUCAUAUUCAGGUAAAUAAAGGGGGGCACCUGCCUGGCUCAGUCAGUAGAGCAUGUGACUCGAUAUCAAGGUUGUGAGUUCAAGCCCCAUGUUAUUUUUAAAAAAUUGUAAUAGUAGGGGCACCUGGGUGGCUCAGUGGGUUAAGUGUCUGCCUUCAGCUCUGGUCAUGAUCUCAGGCUCCUGGGAUCCAGCCCCACCUCAGGCCUCGCACUCAGUGGGGAGUCUGCUUCUCCUUCUCCCUCAGCCGCCCUCCACUGCUCGUGCUUGCUCUCUUUCUUGAAUAAAUAAAAUAUUUUAAAAAUAGUAAUAAAUAAAAUAAUAAAGUAGGUAAUUGAUGAAAUAGCUACAUAUCAACAUAACCAUUAAAGGAAUAGUAUUCUCCUUUAUGAUGUUAACAAUUAAUAUUUAUCAUGCCCAUAUUCUAUCUAUUAAGGUCUGACCAGUUUUAUCCAAAUAAAACUUACAAACAAACAAAAUCAAAAACUUACUCCAAGAUUCUGGAAGGUUUCAGCACUAACCUUUCAAAUUUUUCUCCUAAUCAAUAAAAUUGAUAAAAUUGUAAAAUUGCUGGAUAAUUUUAUCUUUAGAAAAUGCACAGGAAUUACUGUUAAAUUUCUCUUGAACUAUGUUUCUUUAGAUACUGGCUUACAAAAAGACUACAACUAGAAGCGCUGAAUGUAGUAACCUUGACCCUCUAAAGCAAAGGAUCCUUUUCUUCUGUGAUGUACAGGGAUUCCUUCCUAUAACCUUAGCAAUUGUCAAAUGCAUUAGUAGGUUUAGGUGUGUAAUGCUUCCACUUCCAAUUUGAAUCAUGUUACACCUUAUUUAACAGAAGUCAGCUGGUC
rnacentral:lncRNA from 1 species